AACAAUCUUCAAGAUCGUAGUGUUGUCUCUACCAGUCAACAUGACACUACGAUCAAGUCCUCGAAGACAUGCAUCAAAAUCGUAGAGUUCGAAUAGCUGAAGACUGAAGCAUUGGCAACGGUUCAAUCUGAAGGGUAAUAUUCGGACAAGAGCUUAUUGAGAGCAUCGAUGCAAAAGGACAACCUCUGAUCGAGAAAUCAGAAGGAGGAAAUAAAGUCUUCGACCUGCCCAAGACAUUAAAAUGACAUCUUUGAUGGGUGGGUGAAAUAGUAGACUGCAAUGUCAGAGAAAGUAUGACUUAUCACAUCAGCAGUCUACCUCUGUCAACUCGAGAUCUAUGAAGACAUUUGAAUAGCUUUCAACGGCUACUUUCCAAUGGAAGGAUUAUGAAGGAGUAUAAAUCUGGUAAAGCUUCAAAGAUCAAAGGUUGCUGGAGUUGCCGAGUUUGAAGUAACGGUAGAUUUUUCUAAACCAUGUAAAAUAGUCAGUCCGAAGGCUCACUCUACGAUCCACCAAGAACACUUAGAGUCAUACAAAGAAAGAAGUAGAAGUGAGAGUUCUACAAUGUAGAAAUGAGAGUUCUACUACAUGAAGAGUGUUCUGAACUGCCGAGAGAAAGAAGAGUGUCAUGUCAUCUUGGUGUCCAUCAUGGGAAGACUCUAAGUACCAUAGAGAAGAGCUCACAGUCAUCUUAACAAGUCCAUCAUGAG
rnacentral:lncRNA from 1 species